CAUAAGCUUGGUCCUGACUUUAUUAUCAACUUUAACCUAAAUUAUACAUGCAAGUAUCCGCACCCCUGUGAGAAUGCCCUCAAUUCCCCUUCCGAAAGAGAGGAGCAGGUAUCAGGCACACCUAAUUAGCCCAAGACACCUUGCUAUGCCACACCCCCAAGGGAGUCAGCAGUAAUAAAUAUUAAGCUAUGAGCGAAAACUCGACUUAGUUAGGGUUAAAAGGGUCGGUAAAACUCGUGCCAGCCACCGCGGUUAUACGAGAGACCCUAGUUGAUUAUCACGGCGUAAAAAGUGGUUAAGAGACAUUAUAUAUAUAUUAAAGUCGAAGGUCUUCCAGGCCGUCAUAAACAUCAUGAAGACAUUAAGGCCAAACACGAAAGUAACUUUAUAUAGCUGACGCCACGAAACCUAAGAAACAAACUGGGAUUAGAUACCCCACUAUGCUUAGCUGUAAACUCAGAUGUAAUAAUUACAACUAUAUCCGCCAGGGUACUACAAGCGCUAGCUUAAAACCCAAAGGACUUGACGGUGUCCCAGACCCACCUAGAGGAGCCUGUUCUAGAACUGAUAACCCCCGUUAAACCUCACCAUCUCUUGUUUAUACCGCCUAUAUACCGCCGUCGCAAGCUCACCCUGUGAAGGAUUAAUAGUAAGCAAAAGGAGUAAAUCCCAAAACGUCAGGUCGAGGUGUAGCUUAUGAAAUGGAAAGAAAUGGGCUACAUUUUCUACUCAGAAAAUUACGAAUGGUAUAAUGAAAUAAUACCUGAAGGUGGAUUUAGUAGUAAAAAAUAAAUAGAGCGUACUUUUGAAUUAGGCUCUGAGACGCGUACACACCGCCCGUCACCCUCCACAAUACCCAAUAAAUUUAUAUAAAUAAUUCCACUACCUGGUAUUUACUGAGGAGGCAAGUCGUAACAUGGUAAGUGUACCGGAAGGUGCACUUGAAUAUAC
rnacentral:ncRNA from 1 species